UAUGUAGGGUGCGAGCGUUAAUCGGAAUUACUGAGCGUAAAGCGUGCGCAGGCGGUUUUUUAAGCCAGAUGUGAAAUCCCCGGGCUUAACCUGGGAACUGCAUUUGGAACUGGAAGACUAGAGUACGGCAGAGGGGGGUAGAAUUCCACGUGUAGCAGUGAAAUGCGUAGAUAUGUGGAGGAAUACCGAUGGCGAAGGCAGCCCCCUGGGUCGGUACUGACGCUCAUGCACGAAAGCGUGGGGAGCAAGCAGG
rnacentral:rRNA from 1 species